CCAGACUCCUACGGGAGGCAGCAGUGGGGAAUAUUGCGCAAUGGGGGAAACCCUGACGCAGCAACGCCGCGUGAGUGAAGAAGUAUCUCGGUAUGUAAAGCUCUAUCAGCGGGGAAGAAGGAAGACGGUACCCGACUAAGAAGCCCCGGCUAACUACGUGCCAGCAGCCGCGGUAAUACGUAGGGGGCAAGCGUUAUCCGGAUUUACUGGGUGUAAAGGGAGCGUAGACGGCAAUGCAAGCCAGAUGUGAAAGCCCGGGGCUCAACCCCGGGACUGCAUUUGGAACUGUGUAGCUGGAGUGUCGGAGAGGCAGGCGGAAUUCCUAAUGUAGCGGUGAAAUGCGUAGAUAUUAGGAGGAACACCAGUGGCGAAGGCGGCCUGCUGGACGAUGACUGACGUUGAGGCUCGAAAGCGUGGGGAGCAAACAGGAUUAGAUACCCGUGUU
rnacentral:rRNA from 1 species